UUAUUAUUUUGGCAGAUUAGUGCAGUGAAUUUAGAAUUCAAAAAUAUAAUUUUUAUUAUAAAUAAUA
rnacentral:tRNA from 1 species